rnacentral:rRNA from 1 species
GAUGAACGCUGGCGGCGUGCCUAAUACAUGCAAGUCGAGCGAACGGACGAGAAGCUUGCUUCUCUGAUGUUAGCGGCGGACGGGUGAGUAACACGUGGAUAACCUACCUAUAAGACUGGGAUAACUUCGGGAAACCGGAGCUAAUACCGGAUGAUAUUUUGAACCGCAUGGUUCAAAAGUGAAAGACGGUCUUGCUGUCACUUAUAGAUGGAUCCGCGCUGCAUUAGCUAGUUGGUAAGUUAAAGGCUUACCAAGGCAACGAUGCAUAUCCGACGUGAGAGAGUGAUCGGCGACACUGGAACUGAGACACGGUCCAGAGUACUACGGGAGGCAGCAGUAGGGAAUCUUCCGCAAUGGGCGAAAGCAUGACGGAGCAACGCCGCGUGAGUGAUGAAGGUCUUCGGAUCGUAAAACUCUGUUAUUAGGGAAGAAAAUAUGUGUAAGUAACUGUGGACAUAUUGACGGUACCUAAUAAGAAAGCAACGGCUAACUACGUG